UACGGACACACCACAUUGAAACACCAGUUCCGUACGAUCACAGAAGUUAAGCAACGUUGAGCCUGGUCAGUACCUAAAUGGGUGAACACGUUUGAAUGCUAGAUACUGA